CGCCUGUCCGAGGGUCGGCUUAUAAACUAUCACGACGCCCAAAAAGUCGUGGCUUGGGUUCUGCCAGCUGACGUGAUUUCCCCUAGUUCAUAUUGUUCCUGGGGUGUCAGAUCUGUGGCGUUUCCCUAAUAAGUCCGGUUACAACCACAUAUUAGCUUUUUGCUAUUAUGGGAUGUGGCUGCGGAGUCGUGGCUCAAUGGUUAUGUGCGCGCUCCGUAUGCUCAUCUGGUUCGUGUUGUGUACCAUGACCCGCGCUUCGGCGCUCUAUUUCCUGACCUCGGAUCAGACGUGAUUACCCGCUGAACUUAAGCAUAUCACUAAGCGGAGGAAAAGAAACUAACAAGGAUUCCCCUAGUAACGGCGAGUGAACAGGGAAAAGCCCAGCACCGAAGCCUGUGGCCAUUUGGUUACUAGGCAAUGUGGUGUUUAG
rnacentral:rRNA from 1 species